rnacentral:rRNA from 1 species
AUUGAGAGUCUGAUCCUGGCUCAGGAUGAACGCUGGCGGCAUGCCUAAGCUAUGCAAGUCGAACGGGUCCGACGUCGUACAUCGCAAGAUGUAUCUCAUCGGACUAGUGGCAGACGGGUGAGUAACACGUAGGAACGUGCCUCAAAGUCAGGAAUAGCCCAGAGAAAUCUGGAUUAAUCCCGGAUAGUCCCAUUAAACCGAGAGGUUUUUUGGGUAAAGUGACUAGUUUACUAGUCAUGCUUUGAGAUCGGCCUGCGUCCUAUCAGCUAGUUGGUGAGGUAAUGGCUCACCAAGGCGAUGACGGGUAGGGGGCGUGAGAGCGCGACCCCCCACAAGGGCACUGAGAUCCGGGCCCUAUACCUACGG